rnacentral:rRNA from 1 species
GGAUCCCAUAAGAACUCCGAAGUUAAGAGUGCUUGGGCGAGAGUAGUACUAGGAUGGGUGACCUCCUGGGAAGUCCUCGUGUUGCAUUCCCC